rnacentral:rRNA from 1 species
GGUUGAUCCUGCCAGUAGUCAUAUGCUUGUCCCAAAGAUUAAGCCAUGCAUGUCUAAGUAUAAACAAGUCUAUACGGUGAAACUGCGAAUGGCUCAUUAAAUCAGUUAUAAUUUACUUGAUAGUUACUUUAUCAUUGGAUAACCGUGGUAAUUCUAGAGCUAAUACAUGUACAAGGCCUCGCAAGGGGCCGUAUUUAUUAGAUACAAGCCUGAGGGUGGGUGACUGCCCUGUUGGUGAUUCAUGAUAACUUUGCGGAUCGCAUGCUUCGGCAGCGACGUUUCAUUCAGAUUU